CAGCCGCCGCGGUAAUACAGAGGGUGCGAGCGUUAAUCGGAUUUACUGGGCGUAAAGCGUGCGUAGGCGGCUUCUUAAGUCGGAUGUGAAAUCCCUGAGCUUAACUUAGGAAUUGCAUUCGAUACUGGGAAGCUAGAGUAUGGGAGAGGAUGGUAGAAUUCCAGGUGUAGCGGUGAAAUGCGUAGAGAUCUGGAGGAAUACCGAUUGCGAAGGCAGCCAUCUGGCCUAAUACUGACGCUGAGGUACGAAAGCAUGGGGAGCAAACAGGAUUAGAUACCCCCGUAGUCCCUGUCUCUUAUAC
rnacentral:rRNA from 1 species